CCCAGUCCCGCAAGGGGACGUGGAGGCCUCGGCCAAAGCGGAUUUUUUAAAUCAUGCAUCGAGAAAAACCCAUAUGAAUACUAAGGCGCCCGUACCGGAAACCGACACAGGUGGGUGGGCAUAAAUGUGCCAAGGCGCGUGAGUGAAACCUCGUUAAGGAACUCUGCAAUCUAGCCCCGUAACUACGGAAGAAGGGGUGCCCACUUUUAGUGGGUCGCAGUGAAAUGGGUGUACCGACUGUUUAUCAAAAACACAGCACUCUGCUAAGUCGUAAGACAACGUAUAGGGUGUGACACGUGACCAAUGCGGAAAGAUUACGGUAAGUGGUUAGGCGCAAGCCGAAGCUACGAGCCCAAGUCCCCGUGAAUGUCGGCCGUAACAAUAACGGUCCUAAGGUAGCGAAAUUCCUUGUCGGGUAAGUUCCGACCUGCACGAAUCGUGUAACGAGUGCACCGCUGUCUCAACGAGGAGCUCAGCGAAGUUGUAAUGGCGGUGAAGAUGCCGCCUACCCGCAGCAGGACGGAAAGACCCUAUGCACCUUUACUGUACGCUGUUACUGUGUUUUCGAUUUUCAUGCUUAGCGUAAGUGGGAGACUUUGAAUCGCUUCUUUCGGGGAGCGACGAGUCGUCAAUGAAACACCACCCUUGGAAAUUGGAAACUCUAACCCUCACCCAUGAUCUGGGGAGGGGACACUGGCAGCCGGUCAGUUUUACUGGGGCGGUAUCCUCCUAAAGAGUAACGGAGGAGUACGAAGGUUGGCUCAACCUGGUUGGUAAUCAGGUGACGAGUACAUGGAUAUAAGCCAGCCUAACUGUGAGACCUACAAGUCGAGCAGAUGCGAAAGCAGGUCCAAGUGAUCCGGUGGUUGAAAGUGGAAUCGCCAUCGCUCAACGGACAAAAGGUACGCUAGGGAUAACAGGCUGAUCGAGUCCAAGAGCUCAUAUCGACGACUCGGUUUGGCACCUCGAUGUCGGCUCAUCACAUCCUGGGGCUGGAGAAGGUCCCAAGGGUCCGGCUGUUCGCCGGUUAAAGUGGUACGCGAGCUGGGUUCAGAACGUCGCGAGACAGUUCGGUCCUUAUCCGCUGUGGGCGCAGGAAAGUUGAGGGGUUUAAACCUUAGUACGAGAGGACCGGGUUUAACGAACCUCUGGUGUUCCAGUUGUCGUGUCAACGGCAGUGCUGGGCAGCUACGUUCGGAAGAGAUAAGCGCUGAAAGCAUCUAAGCGCCAAGCUCCUCCCAAGAUUGACUUUCCCUGAAGAGUCGUGGUAGACCACCACGUUGAUAGGCCAUAGGUAUAAGCGCAGUAAUGUGUUGAGCUUAGUGGUACUAAUAACUCGUUCGGCUUGAUCGA
rnacentral:rRNA from 1 species